UUUUUAAUUUUCCUUGUCUCUUUGUUUCCCAGCCUCACAGGAGUCCUAAAGAUGCCGUCUAGAUCCAGCCCUUUCUAGUUCUGGUCAUAGCUGUGUGACUUGGUCAGAUGCUCAGUUGGCAUCUUAUAUGUGCCAGGCCCCAGGGCAGGCACUGCAUACAUUUUGCCAUUCAGGGCCCAGUGUGACUGAGCACAGAGGCCACUUUGUCAAGUCCUAAUCUGAAUGGCCCUGAGCUGGGCAGCCCUGUUAUGGAUGGACAGGCUCGGGCAGGUGGCCAGGCCCCACCUCCAAGGAUGGGAAGGCAGGGUCUGCAAUACCCGAGGCUACCGGAAGAGGUCGCAGCGCAUCGGGCUCUGAGGACUCAAGGGCAGUCUUGGCCUAAGGUUGGAAAGGAGAGAGGGCAGAGGAGUCCACUGCUGGGGCGGCAGAAAUCAGGCAAAGGUUUACCAUGCACAAGCAAUCAAAGCGGAGGGGGGCACAAACUGGACUCCAUCAAAA